GAUGAAGAACGCAGCGAAAUGCGAUAAGUAAUGUGAAUUGCAGAAUUCCGUGAAUCAUCGAAUCUUUGAACGCACAUGGCGCCUUCCAGUAUCCUGGGAGGCAUGCCUGUCCGAGCGUCGUUUCAACCCUCGAGCCCCCGUGGCCCGGCGUUGGGGAUCUGCCACGGCAGGCCCCUAAAACCAGUGGCGGACCCGAAGGCCCUCCCCUUUGCGCAGUAGCAUCAGCCUCGCAUUGGGAUCCCUCGGCGUCCUGCCUCUAAACCCCCCACAAGUCCGCUCCGGCGGCACCAAGGUUGACCUCGGAUCAGGUAGGAAUACCCGCUGAACUUAAGCAUAUCAAUAAGCGGAGGA
rnacentral:misc_RNA from 1 species